rnacentral:lncRNA from 1 species
CGGAGGUCACACAAGGAGUUGUAAAUGAGUCACAACUAAACUGCAUUUCUUGGUUCUCAGCUUAGGACACUCGCUACUUCUCCCAUGACAACAAAGCUCCCCAUGGCUCUUCCCAUCUGCAGUUCUCAAAGUCUUCGUAAUCGGUCAACCAACCCACCCGUCCAUCUAGACAUCCAUCCACCCAUCAGGAAGUAUGCAACCCAUGAAGCAGCCUUGGCAAGUACCACCCCCGAGGACAGAGGCUAGAAUAAAAUCAAGAGCUGCCACCAGGUAGGAUUCUACUGCAUGAGACCCCGAGAAGGGAUGCUCAAAGGAACAGAGGUCCCCCCCAGCCCCCGGCCCCAUUACAGGUUACAACCCCCUCCCCGCAUGGCUUCAUCCUAGCCAAGAGAGGCCAGCACUUCCUGGAGAGCUCUCAAGCCAGGGUAUCUUGAACUGAGUUAAACUGAAAGCCUCAUUUUACAGGCACCGAGGAGAGCCCCUGAA